CUACUUCUAUGAGUUCCAGCACCAGCCCAGCUUCAUCAAACAUGCCAGGCCAUCCCACGUGAGGGCCGACCAUUGUGAUCACGUUGCCUUCGUCUUUGGCUCUGACUUGUGGGGCUUGAAAAUUGACCUCACUGAGGAGGAGAAACUGCUGAACAGGAGGAUGAUGAAGUACUGGGCAAACUUUGCAAGACACGGGAACCCCAACAGUGAGGGUCUCCCCUACUGGCCUGAGUUGAUCCACGAUGAGCAGUACCUGAAGCUGGACAUCCAGCCUGCUGUGGGUCGAGCCCUGAAGGCCAGGAAGCUGCAGUUCUGGACGAAGACUCUGCCCCAGAAGAUCCAGAAACUAAAGGGGGCUCGGAACAAGCAUGUAGAGUUUUAGUGCCAAUUACAGGAAAGGUGUGUGGUGUUGGGGAUGGAUGAGGUCAUCCCGAGAUUACAAAGUCCAUUUAUUUAUUUUUAUUCAUUCCAAACUCACAUAAGCAUUUCUAACCUCAGCAUUUCCCUUUCACUGUGUAUGACAAACCCUCUGUGUGCUACUCCUUAUCCUUAUGGACACAUUUUAUUAGAAUCAAUAAAUGGUCCCACAACCAUAUGGA